rnacentral:rRNA from 1 species
CCUACGGGAGGCUGCAGUGAGGAAUAUUGGUCAAUGGACGAGAGUCUGAACCAGCCAAGUAGCGUGAAGGAUGACUGCCCUAUGGGUUGUAAACUUCUUUUAUAUGGGAAUAAAAUGUUCCACGUGUGGGUUUUUGUAUGUACCAUAUGAAUAAGGAUCGGCUCACUCCGUGCCAGCAGCCGCGGUAAUACGGAGGAUCCGAGCGUUAUCCGGAUUUAUUGGGGUUAAAGGGAGCGUAGGUGGAUUGUUAAGUCAGUUGUGAAAGUUUGGGGCUAAACCGUAAAAUUGCAGUUGAAACUGGCAGGCUUGAGUACAGUAGAGGUGGGCGGAAUUCGUGGUGUAGCGGUGAAAUGCUUAGAUAUCACGAAGAACACCGAUUGCGAAGGCAGCUCACUAGACUGCAACUGACACUGAGGCUCGAAAGUGUGGGUAUCAAACAGGAUUAGAUACCCCAGUAGUC